UGGACUUUUCGACUAUCCGAUGCUUAUAAGCAGUUGUGUGAAGUUCCGGGUUUAGCAGAAAGAAUGGCUGCAUUAAUGUGUGUAGAUGUUGAUUUGGACUCAGCAACUGAGCAGGAAGGUGAAGAGGAUAGUAGCAAAUUGAGUGCAGUGGAAAUAGUGGAGAGAGAAAUGUGUAAAGUAAAAGAAGGCCAGGAUUAUACGAGAUGGUUGGAGCUUGAGGAACUUGACGUUGAUGAUCACAUGCUUGUAUCUCUUGAUUUGCCUAGUAAAUUUCCAAACUUACUGGCACUGAGCCUGUGCGGCAACAAUCUGAGCGAUGUUGAGGUUGUUUCUAAGGAAGUUACCCG
rnacentral:misc_RNA from 1 species